UUAAGUUAUUAAGGGCGCACGGUGGAUGCCUUGGCACUAGAAGCCGAUGAAGGACGUUACUAACGACGAUAUGCUUUGGGGAGCUGUAAGUAAGCUUUGAUCCAGAGAUUUCCGAAUGGGGAAACCCAGCAUGAGUUAUGUCAUGUUAUCGAUAUGUGAAUACAUAGCAUAUCAGAAGGCACACCCGGAGAACUGAAACAUCUUAGUACCCGGAGGAAGAGAAAGAAAAUUCGAUUCCCUUAGUAGCGGCGAGCGAAACGGGAAGAGCCCAAACCAACAAGCUUGCUUGUUGGGGUUGUAGGACACUCUAUACGGAGUUACAAAGGACGACAUUAGACGAAUCAUCUGGAAAGAUGAAUCAAAGAAGGUAAUAAUCCUGUAGUCGAAAAUGUUGUCUCUCUUGAGUGGAUCCUGAGUACGACGGAGCACGUGAAAUUCCGUCGGAAUCUGGGAGGACCAUCUCCUAAGGCUAAAUACUCUCUAGUGACCGAUAGUGAACCAGUACCGUGAGGGAAAGGUGAAAAGCACCCCGGCAGGGGAGUGAAAUAGAACCUGAAACCGUGUUCUUACAAGUAGUCAGAGCCCGUUAAUGGGUGAUGGCGUGCCUUUUGUAGAAUGAACCGGCGAGUUACGAUUUGAUGCAAGGUUAAGCAGUAAAUGUGGAGCCGUAGCGAAAGCGAGUCUGAAUAGGGCGUUUAGUAUUUGGUCGUAGACCCGAAACCAGGUGAUCUACCCUUGGUCAGGUUGAAGUUCAGGUAACACUGAAUGGAGGACCGAACCGACUUACGUUGAAAAGUGAGCGGAUGAACUGAGGGUAGCGGAGAAAUUCCAAUCGAACCUGGAGAUAGCUGGUUCUCUCCGAAAUAGCUUUAGGGCUAGCCUCAAGUGAUGAUUAUUGGAGGUAGAGCACUGUUUGGACGAGGGGCCCCUCUCGGGUUACCGAAUUCAGACAAACUCCGAAUGCCAAUUAAUUUAACUUGGGAGUCAGAACAUGGGUGAUAAGGUCCGUGUUCGAAAGGGAAACAGCCCAGACCACCAGCUAAGGUCCCAAAAUAUAUGUUAAGUGGAAAAGGAUGUGGCGUUGCCCAGACAACUAGGAUGUUGGCUUAGAAGCAGCCAUCAUUUAAAGAGUGCGUAAUAGCUCACUAGUCGAGUGACACUGCGCCGAAAAUGUACCGGGGCUAAACAUAUUACCGAAGCUGUGGAUUGUCCUUUGGACAAUGGUAGGAGAGCGUUCUAAGGGCGUUGAAGCAUGAUCGUAAGGACAUGUGGAGCGCUUAGAAGUGAGAAUGCCGGUGUGAGUAGCGAAAGACGGGUGAGAAUCCCGUCCACCGAUUGACUAAGGUUUCCAGAGGAAGGCUCGUCCGCUCUGGGUUAGUCGGGUCCUAAGCUGAGGCCGACAGGCGUAGGCGAUGGAUAACAGGUUGAUAUUCCUGUACCACCUAUAAUCGUUUUAAUCGAUGGGGGGACGCAGUAGGAUAGGCGAAGCGUGCGAUUGGAUUGCACGUCUAAGCAGUAAGGCUGAGUAUUAGGCAAAUCCGGUACUCGUUAAGGCUGAGCUGUGAUGGGGAGAAGACAUUGUGUCUUCGAGUCGUUGAUUUCACACUGCCGAGAAAAGCCUCUAGAUAGAAAAUAGGUGCCCGUACCGCAAACCGACACAGGUAGUCAAGAUGAGAAUUCUAAGGUGAGCGAGCGAACUCUCGUUAAGGAACUCGGCAAAAUGACCCCGUAACUUCGGGAGAAGGGGUGCUCUUUAGGGUUAACGCCCAGAAGAGCCGCAGUGAAUAGGCCCAAGCGACUGUUUAUCAAAAACACAGGUCUCUGCUAAACCGUAAGGUGAUGUAUAGGGGCUGACGCCUGCCCGGUGCUGGAAGGUUAAGAGGAGUGGUUAGCUUCUGCGAAGCUACGAAUCGAAGCCCCAGUAAACGGCGGCCGUAACUAUAACGGUCCUAAGGUAGCGAAAUUCCUUGUCGGGUAAGUUCCGACCCGCACGAAAGGCGUAACGAUUUGGGCACUGUCUCAACGAGAGACUCGGUGAAAUCAUAGUACCUGUGAAGAUGCAGGUUACCCGCGACAGGACGGAAAGACCCCGUGGAGCUUUACUGUAGCCUGAUAUUGAAAUUCGGCACAGCUUGUACAGGAUAGGUAGGAGCCUUUGAAACGUGAGCGCUAGCUUACGUGGAGGCGCUGGUGGGAUACUACCCUAGCUGUGUUGGCUUUCUAACCCGCACCACUUAUCGUGGUGGGAGACAGUGUCAGGCGGGCAGUUUGACUGGGGCGGUCGCCUCCUAAAAGGUAACGGAGGCGCUCAAAGGUUCCCUCAGAAUGGUUGGAAAUCAUUCAUAGAGUGUAAAGGCAUAAGGGAGCUUGACUGCGAGCCUACAAGUCGAGCAGGGUCGAAAGACGGACUUAGUGAUCCGGUGGUUCCGCAUGGAAGGGCCAUCGCUCAACGGAUAAAAGCUACCCCGGGGAUAACAGGCUUAUCUCCCCCAAGAGUUCACAUCGACGGGGAGGUUUGGCACCUCGAUGUCGGCUCAUCGCAUCCUGGGGCUGUAGUCGGUCCCAAGGGUUGGGCUGUUCGCCCAUUAAAGCGGUACGCGAGCUGGGUUCAGAACGUCGUGAGACAGUUCGGUCCCUAUCCGUCGUGGGCGUAGGAAAUUUGAGAGGAGCUGUCCUUAGUACGAGAGGACCGGGAUGGACAUACCUCUGGUGUACCAGUUGUCGUGCCAACGGCAUAGCUGGGUAGCUAUGUGUGGACGGGAUAAGUGCUGAAAGCAUCUAAGCAUGAAGCCCCCCUCAAGAUGAGAUUUCCCAACUUCGGUUAUAAGAUCCCUCAAAGAUGAUGAGGUUAAUAGGUUCGAGGUGGAAGCAUGGUGACAUGUGGAGCUGACGAAUACUAAUCGAUCGAAGACUUAAUCAA
rnacentral:rRNA from 1 species